rnacentral:lncRNA from 1 species
GUAUAUAAUGAUGAGAGAGAUCCCAAAAAUCUUUUAAUUUUCUCUUUUGUUUUUUCCGUCAGUCAAGGAAACGUGUGAGAGAGAGAGUUUUUUUUAUUUUUCUUUUUUGUCCUUUUUGACUCAGAGAGAGACGUUGGAGUGUGAGAGAGUUUCUCUUUCUCUCUUUUCUGACCAUUGGCGUGUCCAAUAAAAGAAGUGAUAUUUUUU